rnacentral:rRNA from 1 species
UACGAAGGGAGCUAGCGUUGUUCGGAAUCACUGGGCGUAAAGCGCACGUAGGCGGAUGUGUCAGUCAGGGGGUGAAAUCCCGGAGCUCAACUUCGGAACUGCCUCUGAUACAGCACGUCUUGAGUCCGAUAGAGGUGGGUGGAAUUCCUAGUGUAGAGGUGAAAUUCGUAGAUAUUAGGAAGAACACCAGUGGCGAAGGCGGCUCACUGGCCCGGUACUGACGCUCAUGUGCGAAAGCGUGGGGAGCAAACAGG